UGGGGGAUCGUCUAACGGUAGGACAGCGGCCUUUGGAGCCGUUUAUCGGGGUUCGAAUCCCUGUCCCCCAG
rnacentral:tRNA from 1 species